UACGUAGGGUGCAAGCGUUGUCCGGAAUUAUUGGGCGUAAAGAGCUCGUAGGUGGCCUGUCGCGUCGGCUGUGAAAACUCGGGGCUCAACUCCGAGCUUGCAGUCGAUACGGGCAGGCUAGAGUUCGGCAGGGGAGACUGGAAUUCCUGGUGUAGCGGUGAAAUGCGCAGAUAUCAGGAGGAACACCGAUGGCGAAGGCAGUGGGCUGGGCCGGCACCGACGCUGAGGAGCGAAAGCGUGGGGAGCGAACAGG
rnacentral:rRNA from 1 species